rnacentral:rRNA from 1 species
GACGAACGCUGGCGGCGUGCUUAACACAUGCAAGUCGAGCGGUAAGGCCCUUUCGGGGGUACACGAGCGGCGAACGGGUGAGUAACACGUGGGUGACCUGCCCUUAGCUCUGGGAUAAGCCUGGGAAACUGGGUCUAAUACCGGAUAUGACUCCGCGGCGCAUGUUGUGGGGUGGAAAGCCUUGUGCGGCUGGAGAUGGGCCCGCGGCCUAUCAGCUUGUUGGUGGGGUGAUGGCCUACCAAGGCGACGACGGGUAGCCGGCCUGAGAGGGCGACCGGCCACACUGGGACUGAGACACGGCCCAGACUCCUACGGGAGGCAGCAGUGGGGAAUCUUGCGCAAUGGGCGAAAGCCUGACGCAGCGACGCCGCGUGAGGGAUGACGGCCU